rnacentral:rRNA from 1 species
CCUACGGGAGGCAGCAGGGAGGAAUAUUGGUCAAUGGGCGCGAGCCUGAACCAGCCAAGUAGCGUGAAGGAUGACUGCCCGACGGGUUGUAAACUUCGGUUAUAAAGGAAUAAAGUGAGGCACGUGUGCCUUUUUGUAUGUACUUUAUGAAUAAGGAUCGGCUAACUCCGUGCCAGCAGCCGCGGUAAUACGGAGGAUCCGAGCGUUAUCCGGAUUUAUUGGGUUUAAAGGGAGCGUAGAGGGGUUGUUAAGUCAGUUGUGAAAGUUUGCGGCUCAACCGUAAAAUUGCAAUUGAUACUGGCAGCCUUGAGUACAGUUGAGGUAGGCGGAAUUCGUGGUGUAGCGGUGAUAUGCUUCGCUAUCACGAAGAACUCCGAUUGCGAAGGCAGCCUACUAAACUGCCACUGACAUUGAUGCUCGAAAGUGUGGGUAUCAAACCGGAUUAGAUACCCCUGUAGUC